GAACCAAAGACAAUAGUUGAGAUUCCUGUUUUCAGACAGGCAGUUGCUGUCUAAGAAAUUUAGUGUUUUAAACUGGAAUUCCUUUCCAUUGUGCUUCACUUGUAAAUUUUUAAACUUGAGAUUCCCGUUUCAUAUGGCAUAAUCAUUUUAUUGAUUUUGAAUCAUAUUGCAAAAUCAUCAUCCAAAAAAGACUGAACCAUUUCAUAAUAUCAGCUGCAACCUC
rnacentral:lncRNA from 1 species